rnacentral:rRNA from 1 species
AGUGAACGCUGGCGGUAGGCCUAACACAUGCAAGUCGAACGGAAGCACAGUAAGAGCUUGCUCUUACGGGUGGCGAGUGGCGGACGGGUGAGGAAUACAUCGGAAUCUACUUUUUCGUGGGGGAUAACGUAGGGAAACUUACGCUAAUACCGCAUACGAUCUACGGGUGAAAGCAGGGGAACUUCGGACCUUGCGCGAUUGAAUGAGCCGAUGUCGGAUUAGCUAGUUGGCGGGGUAAAGGCCCACCAAGGCGACGAUCCGUAGCUGGUCUGAGAGGAUGAUCAGCCACACUGGAACUGAGACACGGUCCAGACUCCUACGGGAGGCAGCAGUGGGGAAUAUUGGACAAAGGGCGCAAGCCUGAUCCAGCCAUACCGCGUGGGUGAAGAAGGCCUUCGGGUUGUAAAGCCCUUUUGUUGGGAAAGAAACGCUGCAGGUUAAUACCCAGCUGUUCUGACGGUACCCAAAGAAUAAGCACCGGCUAACUUCGUG